AGCAGCCGCGGUAAUUCCAGCUCCAAUAGCGUAUAUUAAAGUUGCUGCAGUUAAAAAGCUCGUAGUUGAAUUUCGGGACUAAUAUGUCGGUCGUGCCUCGGUACGUACUGGUUUAUUGGUUUCUCCUUUCUGAAGAACCAUGAUGUCAUUUAUUUGGUGUCGUGGGGAAUCAGGACUGUUACUUUGAAAAAAUUAGAGUGUUUAAAGCAGGCUCACGCUUGAAUACAUUAGCAUGGAAUAAUGAAAUAGGACGUUUGAUUCUAUUUUGUUGGUUUCUAGGAUCGACGUAAUGAUUAAUAGGGAUAGUUGGGGGCAUUAGUAUUCAAUUGUCAGAGGUGAAAUUCUUGGAUUUAUUGAAGACUAACUACUGCGAAAGCAUUUGCCAAGGAUGUUUUCAUUAAUCAAGAACGAAAGUUAGGGGAUCGAAGACGAUCAGAUACCGUCGUAGUCUUAACCAUAAAGCUAUGCCGACUAGGGGAUCGGAUGAUGUUAAUUUUUUAANGACUCAUUCGGCGCCUUA
rnacentral:misc_RNA from 1 species